UUUCCUUCCCAGCAUUGACCUUGGCUAAUGUAUUUACUAAGGGACUUGGUGGUAGGAUUUUUCAUUCUAUUGUUUUCAAGUUGAGCAUGUGUGAUAUCUAUGCACCAACUUGAGGGGGAGUGUUGUAAAUGGGUACAAGGGUAGAAUUGUCUUAUUAUCAUAUAGGGGUAAUUUG